GUGGAUGAAGGGAGAGAAGAACAUGGGGAAGAAGAAAACAAGCACGAGGCAGAAGAAGAACAUGAGGAAGAUGAAAGCAAAAGUGAAGAGAUUGAAGAUGAAGGAGGAGAUGCUGAGACAGAUGAAAAUGAUCAUGAUAAAUCAGAAGCAGAUAAUGAUCAUGAUAAAUCAGAAGCAGAUAAUGAUCAUGAUGAUGAGGUUGUAGACGACGAGAAAGAGAAAGAAGAGGGCGAUGAGAUAGAGAAUGAAGAGAAGGAGGAUGAGGAAAAGGGGGGUUUAGUUGAAAACCAGGAGAAUCAUG
rnacentral:lncRNA from 1 species